GUCUAUGGCCAUGCUACCCUGAACAAGCCCAAACCCUUCUGAUCUCAGAAGCUAAGCAGGGUUGGGACUGCUUAGUACUUAGAUGGGAGACCACCUAGGAAGACCAGGUGCUGUAGGCG
rnacentral:rRNA from 1 species